rnacentral:rRNA from 1 species
GUCCACGCCCUAAACGGUGUCAACUAGCCGUUGGGUUCACUUCAGAGCUUAGUGGCGCAGCUAACGCGAUAAGUUGACCGCCUGGGGAGUACGGUCGCAAGAUUAAAACUCAAAGGAAUUGACGGGGGCCCGCACAAGCGGUGGAGCAUGUGGUUUAAUUCGAUGCAACGCGAAGAACCUUACCAGGCCUUGACAUCCUCGGAACUUUCUAGAGAUAGAUUGGUGCCUUCGGGAACCGAGUGACAGGUGCUGCAUGGCU